UGAGGAAUAUUGGUCAAUGGGCGAGAGCCUGAACCAGCCAAGUCGCGUGAAGGAAGAAGGUUCUAUGGAUUGUAAACUUCUUUUGUAAGGGAAUAAAGUUCACCACGUGUGGUGUUUUGUAUGUACUUUACGAAUAAGGAUCGGCUCACUCCGUGCCAGCAGCCGCGGUAAUACGGAGGAUCCAAGCGUUAUCCGGAUUUAUUGGGUUUAAAGGGUGCGUAGUCGGACCUUUAAGUCAUUGGUGAAAGUUUGCGGCUUAACCGUAAAAUUGCCAUUGAAACUGAAGGUCUUGAGUGUAAAUGAGGUAGGCGGAAUGUGUUGUGUAGCGGUGAAAUGCUUAGAUAUAACACAGAACACCAAUUGCGAAGGCAGCUUACUAGAAUACAACUGACGCUGAGGCACGAAAGCGUGGGGAUCAAACA
rnacentral:rRNA from 1 species